rnacentral:rRNA from 1 species
UACAGAGGUCUCAAGCGUUGUUCGGAUUCAUUGGGCGUAAAGGGUGCGUAGGCGGCGCGGUAAGUCGGCUGUGAAAUCUCGGAGCUUAACUCCGAAACUGCAUUCGAUACUGCCGUGCUUGAGGACUGGAGAGGAGACUGGAAUUUACGGUGUAGCGGUGAAAUGCGUAGAUAUCGUAAGGAAGACCAGUGGCGAAGGCGGGUCUCUGGGCAUCUCCUGACGCUGAGGCGCGAAAGCGUGGGGAGCAAACGGG